AUGGCUGGAGAUGUUGACCGAAGGAAGUCUACCUCAGGUUACUUGGUUACCUAUGUAGGGGGAGCGGUGUCAUGGCAAAGCAGGCUGCAGAAGUGUGUGGCAUUGAAUACAACUGAAGCUGAAUUCAUUGUUGUAACAGAGGCGAGCAAAGAGCUAUUGUGGCUGAAACGGUUGGCUUGUGAGCUUGGAUUUAAGAAAGACAAGUAUGUGUUGUUUUGUGACAACCAAAGUGCUAUCCACUUGAGUAAGAAUGCAAGUUUUCAUUCAAGGUCUAAGCAUAUAGAAGUCCGUUAUCAUUGGAUUCGAGAUGUGUUGUAUUCUAAGAAAAUGCAACUUGAGAAGGUUCACACCGAUGACAAUGGGGCUGAUAUGUUGACUAAAGUGGUGACAAGAAAGAAGCUCGAAGUAUGUCGCCGGCUCGCUGGCAUGGCUGCCGGAAGGCAGUGA
rnacentral:rRNA from 1 species